UACGGAGGGUCCGAGCGUUAUCCGGAUUCAUUGGGUUUAAAGGGUGCGUAGGCGGUUAAUUAAGCCAGUGGUGAAAGCUCGUCGCUUAACGAUGAAAUUGCCAUUGGAACUGAUUAACUUGAAUACGAUUGAAGUAGGCGGAAUAAAUUGUGUAGCGGUGAAAUGCAUAGAUAUAAUUUAGAACACCAAUUGCGAAGGCAGCUUACUAAGUCGAUAUUGACGCUGAUGCACGAAAGCGUGGGGAGCGAACAGG
rnacentral:rRNA from 1 species